CCUGGUAACAUCCCAGCCAGAGUGUGGCAGGAGGCGGUGCCCUGCAGCUCAGAAUGCUCCAGAUGCCCGGCCCAGAGGAGGGCCACCUAUGUGGACCCCAAGGCCCGUGGGCAGCUCUCAGAGCUGACAGGCCCCUUGGCAGUCCGGGCUUUGACCUUCCUGCAGGCCCAUCCGUGGACAGCUGUGUGGAGGAGCAGCGUGCAGCCAGCAGGAGCCUGGCUGUCUGGCUCUGGCUGCUUUGGCCUGAGCCUGUCAAACUACUGACUUCCCCGUGGGCACCUGGUGUUGUCCUGGCUUUGGUGAACAAUCCUGCCCUGAGAACGGCCACUGGGAGACAUGUGCUGACAGCUGUGAGGCGAGCUGCCCACGUGAGGAGGGGCCUCCGGCCUGCCGCAGCCUGUGCCAUGCGCGCUGCCGUGUGGCCCUGGCCACUCUUGUGGGGUGCGGCCUGCGGGCGCCGGGCUCUCCGUGGCUGUCCCAGCAAGGCUGUGUCCCGGCUCUAGCGGCUCAAGAGCUGAGCCCCUCUACUGUGAGCUGUGUGAGUACGAGGAAGGGGAACCAUGUCCCUGUCGCCCCUAAGCUUGUGGAGAUGGAGCUCCAGGAUCCUGCACUCUGGGGCCUGGCACUGUGGAGUCCCAAGAGGCAGGUGACAGGUGAUCGCCAUCACCGCACCCUCACAGCCAGGGGUCCUGCCAACACGCGCUGCGCUGGACCUGUUGAGGGGGCUGGGGGCGCGGGGGUUUGCAGUGUGGGGAGAUAGUGAGUACUAAGCCCCACGGCCAGUGUGACUGGGACCAGAGAUCAGGUGGGGUAAGGUGGUGAAGGGAGCUCAGAUUCCGGGAGGCUCGGCAGGGGCUGGGACCUGGCGUAGAGCAGAUGCUCGAAGCUGAACAAAUAAACCCAGCAGAGAAAGGCUUCAGCACGUUCAUU
rnacentral:lncRNA from 1 species